CGCCACCUCCGCAGGGUCUGCCGGAGCCACACGAUGUCGCGGAUCUUGCUGCAUUUCGCCAUCGGUAUUUGUGGAGCUGAGCUGCUGGUGGUGGGUUAGUGGAGCUUGGAGCGUGGGAGGACGAGUUGGUGGAGUGGAGCUGGCUGGCUUCUCGGGGAGGGAGGGGUGGCGGGUUUUAUAGGAUGAUGAUGCUGGAAAUGUUGGGACUUGGUUCGUCAUCGACCCAGUUGGCCCGGAUCAAAUAAUCUGAGCUGUGUGAAGGGGAUGGGCCUUUGUUCUUCCAUUUAACAUUCAUAUAUUUCCCCUAUAGUUUUUAUUCACAUUUUGAGCCACACAUUUCUAGUCAAAAUCAUGUCCUGGUGAAAGUUGAAAAACGAGCAAUAUGUU
rnacentral:lncRNA from 1 species